rnacentral:rRNA from 1 species
GAUGAACGCUGGCGGCGUGCCUAAUACAUGCAAGUCGAGCGAACGGACGAGAAGCUUGCUUCUCUGAUGUUAGCGGCAGACGUGUGUGUAACACGUGGAUAACCUACCUAUAAGACUGGGAUAACUUCGGGACACCGGAGCUAAUACCGGAUAAGAUUUUGAACCGCAUGGUUCAAAAGUGAAAGACGGUCUUGCUGUCACUUAUAGAUGGAUCCGCGCUGCAUGAGCUAGUUGGUAAGGUAACGGCUUAUCAAGGCGACGAUGCAUAGCCGACCUGAGAGGGUGAUCGGCCACACGGGAACUGAGACACGGUCCAGACUCCUACGGGAGGCAGCAGUAGGGAAUCUUCCGCAAUGGGCGAAAGCCUGACGCAGCAACGCCGCGUGAGUGAUGAAGAUCUUCGGAUCGUAAAACUCGGUUAUUAGGGAAGAACAGAUGUGUAAGUAACUGUGCACAUCGUGACGGUACCUAAUCAGAAAGCAACGGCUAACUACGUG